UACGAGGGGAGCAAGCGUUGUUCGGAUUUACUGGGCGUAAAGGGCGCGUAGGCGGCGUGACAAGUCACUUGUGAAAUCUCCGGGCUUAACUCGGAACGGUCAAGUGAUACUGUCGUGCUAGAGUACAGAAGGGGCAACUGGAAUUCUCGGUGUAGCGGUGAAAUGCGUAGAUAUCGAGAGGAACACCUGCGGCGAAGGCGGGUUGCUGGGCUGAUACUGACGCUGAGGCGCGAAAGCGUGGGGAGCGAACGGG
rnacentral:rRNA from 1 species